AUACGGAGGACGCGAGCGUUAUCCGGAUUCAUUGGGUUUAAAGGGUGCGCAGGCGGCCGUGCAAGUCAGCGGUGAAAGCCCGGGGCUCAACCCCGGAAGUGCCGUUGAUACUGCAUGGCUGGAAUGCGGUCGAGGCGGGCGGAACGUGGGGGGUAGGGGGGAAAUGCGUAGAUAUGCCACAGAACGCGGAGAGCGGAGGCAGCUCGCCGGGCCUGCAUUGACGCUCGGGCACGAAAGCGUGGGGAUCGAACAGGAUUAGAUACCCUGGUAGUCCACGCCGUAAACGAUGGGCGCUCGUCGUCGGCGGCAGACAGUCGGCGGCCAAGCGAAAGCGAUAAGCGCCCCACCUGGGGAGUACGGUCGCAAGGCUGAAACUUAAAGGAAUUGACGGGG
rnacentral:rRNA from 1 species